UCGAGACUGGCUGCGCGGUAGGGAGUCAUGGCGGUUUCGGCCCGGUCUGAAUGCGGCCAGCAACCUCGGGCCUUUGGCGGCGGUUUUUCUUUGAUACCUGCAGAGACAGUGAGACGCAGACCUGCAAGUUGAAGCUUAAAAGCAAUGAAAAGCCCUGAAAUUAAAGGUGCUGGCUGCAGACUUUGAGUGUAAAGAUCUCUGUGGUGAAAUUUUUAUAAACGGUACAGUCUCAGCCUGUUUCUGAGGCUCAAAAGGAUGCUCCAGAAGACACUAACUAGCAGCAGUGCCAUGUCGGCUGCCCUGGACCCCAGGCGGAAUUUUUCUCGUGUCUGCAGCGCAUGAGACAGAACUGAACAGCUUUACCUGAAGCAAGUGAAAUGACUCCUGUUUGUAAGCUUUCUGUUUCCAUCUUGCUGAAGAAGCUCCACAGGCCUGUGAUGCUGCCUCCUCUCCUGAAACUGAAUUUGCAGUAUUAUUGAACCUGACGAUGAGAGAACCAAAGACACCACCUAACACAGUUCUGAGGUGAAUAUGAUCAGCCUUUGAAGAAGCUAAAUAACUUGACAGCCUAUCAGUGUAACCUGUCCCCUUUUGGAGAGCUCAACAAAAAGUAAUUAAAGUACAUAAAGAGAGGACCCAGGCCACCAUCAGGACCAAAGAUUCGACGUUGGUGGGGACCUCCGCAACCCCUCCAGGGCUGUGGAGCCUCCAGCGGGCCGGAUUUGAGUCGCAGAAUGGAAACCAUUUGAUCACUCAGGCCAAGUGGUCCUGCAUCUUCAAUAUGGAAUGUAUGUUUGGCCCUGUGCUGUGGUCCUGGCCCAGUACCUAUGGUUUCACAGAGGAUCUCUGCCAGGCAAGGCUGUCUUAGAGAUUGGAGCUGGAGUGAGCCUUCCAGGAAUUAUGGCUGCAAAAUGUGGUGCUGAAGUAACACUGUCAGACAGUUCAGAGCUGCCUCACUGUCUAGAAAUCUGCCGGCAGAGCUGCCAAAUGAACGACCUGCCACAGGUGCAUGUUGUAGGAGUCACGUGGGGUCACGUAUCUCAGGAUCUUCUGGCUCUACCACCACAAGAUAUUAUUCUUGCAUCAGAUGUAUUCUUUGAACCAGAAGACUUUGAAGACGUUAUAACUACAGUUUACCUUUUGAUGCAAAAGAACCCCAAGGUCCAAUUGUGGUCUACUUACCAGGUAAGAAGUGCUGACUGGUCACUUGAAGCUUUGCUCUACAAGUGGGACAUGAAAUGUGUUCACAUUCCUCUGGAGUCUUUUGGUGCAGACAAGGAAGAUAUAGCAGAAUCUGCCCUCCCAGGAAGACAUACUGUUGAAAUGCUGGUCAUCUCCUUUGCAAAGGACAGUCUCUGAAUUAUACCUACAGGCUGUUUUGGGACAAUGUCAAUACUGAUUAGCAACUUGGCAAGCCAUCUAUGACUCAGACCACUUCAGCUUCUUGUAUACAAACAGUGAAUUUGAAGAUGGAUUAGACCUGUUGGCUUUGGAUUGUGAUGGAUCACAUAACCAUUAAAACAAAAAUUAAAACACUUAUAAGAAAAAA